rnacentral:rRNA from 1 species
CCUACGGGAGGCAGCAGUCGAGAAUCAUUCACAAUGGGGGAAACCCUGAUGGUGCGACGCCGCGUGGGGGAAUGAAGGUCUUCGGAUUGUAAACCCCUGUCAUGUGGGAGCAAAUUAAAAAGAUAGUACCACAAGAGGAAGAGACGGCUAACUCUGUGCCAGCAGCCGCGGUAAUACAGAGGUCUCAAGCGUUGUUCGGAAGCACUGGGCGUAAAGCGUGCGUAGGCUGUUUCGUAAGUCGUGUGUGAAAGGCGCGGGCUCAACCCGCGGACGGCACAUGAUACUGGGAGACUAGAGGAAUGGAGGGGGAACCGGAAUUCUCGGUGUAGCAGUGAAAUGCGUAGAUAUCGAGAGGAACACUCGUGGCGAAGGCGGGUUCCUGGACAUUAACUGACGCUGAGGCACGAAGGCCAGGGGAGCGAAAGGGAUUAGAUACCCUUGUAGUC